rnacentral:rRNA from 1 species
UGAGGAAUAUUGGGCAAUGCCCGAAAGGGUGACCCAGCAACGCCGCGUGGAGGAUGAAGGUCGUAAGAUUGUAAACUCCUGUUAGAGGGGAAGAAUAACUAAGUUUGGAGCUUAGUAUGACUGUACCCUCAGAGAAAGCCCCGGCUAACUACGUGCCAGCAGCCGCGGUAAUACGUAGGGGGCAAGCGUUGUCCGGAUUUACUGGGUGUAAAGGGCGCGCAGGCGGAAUGGAAAGUCAGUGGUGAAAUCCUACAGCUUAACUGUAGAACUGCCUUUGAUACUUUCAUUCUUGAGUUCGGGAGAGAGAGGCGGAAUUCCAGGUGUAGUGGUGAAAUACGUAGAUAUCUGGAAGAACACCGGUUGCGAAGGCGGUCUCUUGGUCCGAUACUGACGCUGAGGCGCGAAAGCGUGGGGAGCAAACA